CUUCACAACUACACCAAUGAUAAAGGAACAUCUCAUUUUAGUAACAUAUACCAUAGUAACAGACUACCUAGGGAGUGCGGAUAUGGGCUGCGAGUUCAGUAACAACUGCUUUGAGACAAACCAAAUGAAAACUAUUAAAGAAACAGCUUUAGGAUGAGGAACUGUAAAGUACCCUUUUGAAUGAAGAAACAUGUUAAGCAACACAAACGCUCUCGCUGCUACCUUCAUGUGAUCAUCUGCUAUUACUUUUAAGAAAAAUUCAAUAUGAAUUAUUCAUAGAGUUGAAAAACAUAAAAAGAUACAUAAA
rnacentral:lncRNA from 1 species